GCGGGCCCAACACAUUGCAAGUUCGAGCGGUAGCACAGAGAGCUUGCUCUCGGGUGACGAGCGGCGGACGGGUGAGUAAUGUCUGGGAAACUGCCUGAUGGAGGGGGAUAACUACUGGAAACGGUAGCUAAUACCGCAUAAUGUCGCAAGACCAAAGUGGGGGACCUUCCGGCCUCAUGCCAUCAGAUGUGCCCAGAUGGGAUUAGCUAGUAGGUGGGGUAACGGGUCACCUAGGCGACGAUCCCUAGCUGGUCUGAGAGGAUGACCAGCCACACUGGAACUGAGACACGGUCCAGUCUCCUACGGGACGCAGCAGUGGGGAAUAUUGCACAAAGGGCGCAAGCCUGAUGAUGCAGCCAUGCCGCGUGUGUGAAGAAGGCCUUCGGGUUGUAAAGCACUUUCAGCGGGGAGGAAGGCGGUAAGGUUAAUAACCUUG
rnacentral:rRNA from 1 species